AGGUUUCUGUAUUUGUGGUGAGAUUUCGUCGGAAAUCAGACCACUAGGCCUGAUGCAAUUCCUCAAAUAAGUGAAUUG
rnacentral:pre_miRNA from 1 species